ACUGUACUCCCUUCAUCCGGAAAUACUUGUCAUCAAAAUGAAUGAUAAGAGAUGUAUCUAGAACUAAAAUACGUCUAGAUACAUUCACUUUUAUCCAUUUUGGUGACAAGUAUUUUUGGACGGAGGGAGUAUUUG
rfam:Triticum aestivum genome assembly, contig: Triticum_aestivum_CS42_TGACv1_scaffold_513928_6BS